rnacentral:rRNA from 1 species
UACGGAGGGUGCGAGCGUUGUCCGGAAUCACUGGGCGUAAAGGGCGCGUAGGCGGCUUGGCAAGUCGGUGGUGAAAGCUCGGGGCUCAACCCCGAGUCGGCCAUCGAUACUGCGAGGCUUGAGUCGACUAGAGGCAGAUGGAAUUCCGGGUGUAGCGGUGGAAUGCGUAGAGAUCCGGAAGAACACCGGUGGCGAAGGCGGUCUGCUGGGGUCGAACUGACGCUGAUGCGCGACAGCGUGGGGAGCAAACAGG